UAGCCUGCGGGAGAUGGGAGUCCGGGACGCGGACAGGACGGGCACUUACCUACGAAUAGCCAGAGGGAGCCCCCCGACACGAGGAAGAAGAGAGAAGGCAGUCAUCUUUAAGACAAGGAGAGGUCUUGCAGACCAGACACCAACUCUACCAUCACCUUGACCUUGGAUUUCCAGCCUCCAGAAUCAUAAGUAAAUAAAAUUCUGUUGUUUAAGCUA